rnacentral:lncRNA from 10 species
CUUCGUGGAAGAGAAGGAAGAGGCUACAUAGACCUGUGCUGUUAAAACAUAUUGGUUCUCUGCCUGGCAGACAUGUAAUAUUGAUGCAGUUCUAUUACCAUCAUCUGCCACAGUCGUUCCCUAUUCUGCUUCAUGGGAUGUAAAUUUCUUUACAAGACAGAAGCAGCCCUGUCUGUGAAAUUCCCAAAGCAAACCCUUCUGAAGACAGGGAAUGAGAAGGAUGGAAGGCCUGGAUAGCGUAAGAUAAAGAAUGGGGUAUGGUUGGAACACACAGAUGGCACAGUCCUUGAAGAAGUGAGUGUUAAGGGUCUCAAGAAAGCGUGGGCAAGCAGCAAUCUUGCCUCUGUGGGAAGUGGUAAGGGAAGCUACGCAGCUUCUCAACACACAGAGGGGUCCUUCGGACGGUACCUAUAGCAGGCCUCGCUGUUGGUCAUAAAUAUUGACUGCCCCUCCCUGAAAGAGGAUGAUAUUUCUCCUUCUUCUUGACAUUAGACUUGGCCAUGCUAUUUGCCCUGGCCAGUGAAAUGUGCAGAAAUGACAUCUCUCACUUCCAGGCAGAAGAUCUAAGAGCCAGCUCAAGUUUUACCAUGUGCUCUUCUCCCCAUCCACGAGGCUGGCAGGAUUCUAGGCCUACUGCACCCUCAGUGAAGGGAACGUGGGGCAGCGCUGCAGUCAGCCUCUCAGGCAUCAGGUGAGUGCAAGAAAAUAUUUUUGAUAUUGUAAGCCUGUGAGAUUUUGGAGUUGCUUGUCACUGCCGCAGAGCCAAGCCUAACUUCCUGAUAUACUACCAUCCUCCUUUGGGAAGGAAGAGAGACGGAUUGCAGCACCAGCCAGCGUCUGAAGGAACUACGUGCACCCUCCUCUUUCCAUCCUCCCCACUCCUGACGCUGUUAACAGCACUCUCCUGUCAUGGUUAGUGCUAAGUGUCAAUUUGAUUGGGUUGAAGGAUGCAAAGUAUUGUUCCUGGAUGUGUCUGUGAGGGCGUUGCCAAAAGAGAUUAACAUUUGAGUCAGUGAACUGGGGGAGGCAGACCAACCCUCAAAGUGGCUGGGCACCAUCUCAUCAGCUGCCAGCACGGCUAGAAUAAAGCAGGCAGAAGAAGCCACAGACUGAAGACUACACUGUCGGCUUCCCGACUUCUGAGGUUUUGGGAUUCAGACUGGCUUUCUUGCUCCUCAGCUGGCAGAGGGCCUAUCAUGGGACUUCAUCUUGUGACUAUGUGAGUCAAUUCGCCUUCAUCUAUACAUCCAUCCUACUAGUCCUGUCCCUUUAGAGAACCCUGACUAAUACACCUCCUCGUCCACUACGACCCAAGGAACUGUAGAGCUCCGCUAAGAGCCAGUAGCCCAUCAGUCAUGCCCUCUGUAGCAGGUUGAAUGAUGCCCCCGAAAAGAGAUGUCCACAUCUUAACCCCCCAAAUCACGAAUGUGACUUAAUUUGGAAAAAGAACCUUGCAGGUAUCAUUAAGAUUCUCCAUAUGAAAUCAUCUUGUAUUACCAGGAUGUGCCCUAGAUCCAAGGACAGGUGUCCUUCUAGAGAUGAAGAGAAGACAGAGGAGAUGGAAGUGAUGCAGCUACAAACCGAAGAACCCCUAGGACCACCAGGAGCUUACAGACUCAAGGAGGCUUCUUCCCUAGAGCCUUUGAAGACAGCCUGCAGGCCGGGCGCCGUGGCUCACGCCUGUAAUCCCAACACUGUGGGAGGCACAGGCAGGCGGAUCACCUGAGGUUGGGAGUUUGAGACCAGCCUAACCAACAUGGAGAAACCCCGUCUCUACUAAAAAUACAAAAAUUAGCCAGGCGUGGUGGUGGAAGCCUGUAAUCCCAGCUGCUUGGGAGGCUGAGGCAGGAGAAUCACUUGAACCCGGGAGGCUGAGGUUGCAGUGAGCCGAGAUCGUGCCAUUGCACUGCAGCCUGGGCAACAAGAGUGAAACUCUGUCUCAAAAAAAAAAAAAAAGAGAGAGAGAGAGAGCCUGCAGCCUUGCUAACACCUUGAUUUUAGACUUCUGGUCUCCAGACCUGUGAGAGAAUAAAUUCUGCUGUUUUAAGCCACUCA